CUGUACAUAGUAUGUCUUCGCAAGAAUUUUUGUCAUCGUCUUCAAAAAUAUCCAGUGCAUCGUCUUUGAUUAAACACUAGCCACAACCUCACUAAUGUCAAAGAUUACGUUGAAAUGUUAAAUAAUAGAUUCAACAAGGACAAUCAAAUAUUGAGGGACAGCCUCCCAUCGUUGGCGAGAGUGAAAUUGAGUUAGCGCACGAUACGAUAGAUUCAUCAAUCGACCAAAGUCUACAUUUAAAGUAGUGAACCAGGAAACACGUAUAGUCAGAUCAAUUCUUAAUAGGCGCCUACUCAUUUAGUAUCAAUGGCAGAUAAAAAUCAACCAUCGUCCUCGGAAAAUAAUCCACACUUGAAGCUUCCUUGGCCCGAAAAUUCAUUAAUGCAGAGGCGAAUGAAUAGGAUUGUUGAACAAUGGGAAAAGCAAAGAGAUCUCGAUGCGAGAACUAAAACUAAAAAAGACGAAAUUGCUAAACAUGGAAAUGCUACAACAACACAAAACAAAAAUAAGAAAGAUGAAAAUCAGUAAUGAUUUAACUAUUCUUAAAUUUGUAUUUUUAAUUAUCAACUGUUAAUAAGUACACUUUUAUUUUGAUUUUUUAGUAUCUAUAAGA